GACGAACCGUGCUAACGUUGUUCGGAAUCACUGGGCUUAAAGGGCGCGUAGGCGGCUUUCCAAGUCAAGGGUGAAAUCCCACGGCUCAACCGUGGAAGUGCCUUUGAUACUGGAAGGCUCGAGGGAGGUAGGGGCAGAUGGAACUUCCGGUGGAGCGGUGAAAUGUGUUGAUAUCGGAAGGAACGCCGGUGGCGAAAGCGAUCUGCUGGACCUCUACUGACGCUGAGGCGCGAAAGCCAGGGGAGCAAACGGG
rnacentral:misc_RNA from 1 species